rnacentral:rRNA from 1 species
UACAGAGGUCUCAAGCGUUGUUCGGAUUCAUUGGGCGUAAAGGGUGCGUAGGCGGCGCGGUAAGUCGGAUGUGAAAUCUCGGAGCUUAACUUCGAAACUGCAUUCGAUACUGCCGUGCUUGAGGACUGGAGAGGAGACUGGAAUUUACGGUGUAGCGGUGAAAUGCGUAGAGAUCGUAAGGAAGACCAGUGGCGAAGGCGGGUCUCUGGACAGUUCCUGACACUGAGGCACGAAGGCCAGGGGAGCAAACGGG